AACGAACGCUGGCGGCAGGCCUAACACAUGCAAGUCGAGCGAUCCCUUCGGGGAUAGCGGCGGACGGGUGAGUAACGCGUGGGAACGUACCCUUUGCUACGGAAUAGCCUCGGGAAACUGGGAGUAAUACCGUAUGUGCCCUUCGGGGGAAGAUUUAUCGGCAAAGGAUCGGCCCGCGUUGGAUUAGGUAGUUGGUGGGGUAAUGGCCUACCAAGCCUACGAUCCAUAGCUGGUUUGAGAGGAUGAUCAGCCACACUGGGACUGAGACACGGCCCAGACUCCUACGGGAGGCAGCAGUGGGGAAUCUUAGACAAUGGGGGCAACCCUGAUCUAGCCAUGCCGCGUGAGUGAUGAAGGCCUUAGGGUUGUAAAGCUCUUUCAGCUGGGAAGAUAAUGACGGUACCAGCAGAAGAAGCCCCGGCUAACUCCGUG
rnacentral:rRNA from 1 species